AUUGAACGCUGGCGGCAGGCCUAACACAUGCAAGUCGAGCGGAUGAAGGGAGCUUGCUCCUGGAUUCAGCGGCGGACGGGUGAGUAAUGCCUAGGAAUCUGCCUGGUAGUGGGGGAUAACGUCCGGAAACGGGCGCUAAUACCGCAUACGUCCUAAGGGAGAAAGUGGGGGAUCUUCGGACCUCACGCUAUCAGAUGAGCCUAGGUCGGAUUAGCUAGUUGGUGGGGUAAAGGCCUACCAAGGCGACGAUCCGUAACUGGUCUGAGAGGAUGAUCAGUCACACUGGAACUGAGACACGGUCCAGACUCCUACGGGAGGCAGCAGUGGGGAAUAUUGGACAAAGGGCGAAAGCCUGAUCCAGCCAUGCCGCGUGUGUGAAGAAGGUCUUCGGAUUGUAAAGCACUUUAAGUUGGGAGGAAGGGCAGUAAGUUAAUACCUUGCUGUUUUGACGUUACCAACAGAAUAAGCACCGGCUAACUUCGUG
rnacentral:rRNA from 1 species